GGGUCCUUCAUCCUGCCUGACCAAGCAGCUUUCCCACUCGUGGGACUGAUAGACGUUUAUCUUAUCUUAUAAACUGACAGCAGCUGUUAGAGCAGGAUGCAAUGCAGACAGUGAUGAGAUUUUCUGCUUCUGAGGAAGUGAAGAAGAACCUGACGGGCACUGUGGGAGGAAACAUCACUCUACCUGACUCUGUGCUGGGGGAAGGAUUUCUGUUAUAUGAAAGAAAGAUUAUUGCUCUGGUGAAUAAUGGAGAAAUUAAAGUCUACAAGAACAGACUUCAGUGGGACAGAAACUCUGGACUCUUUACACUCAGAGAGCUGCAGAGGAACGACUCAGGGAUUUAUACUGUCGACUCUAAAACAGGAAAAGGUUUCACAUCAUCAUAUAAGCUCACAGUGUACGACUCUGUACCGACUCCUGCAGUGAAGAAAGUGAGUGUGAGCUCUGAGAGCUGCUCCUUACUGUGUCGGGUGGACAGAGAGACCACACUGCUGUGGUUCAAAGACGAGCAGAUGCUGAACCAGAGCAGCUCUGCGCUCUCUCUGCCUCUCACUGUGCACAAACAGGACUUCAGCUCCUCUUACAGAUGUGUGGCUGCAAACCCUGCAGAGGAGAAAACUCUUCCUGUCCAUGUGAGAACCACCUGUGGAGACACAGACGACAACGACACCAACAGCUCGACUGAACCAAGAAACUGUGAGAUUAUUUCCAACUGUGAUUUUAAACAUGUUGUUCACUGUGUUUGCUGACAUCUGAUUUCCUGUUUGACAGAUAACAUCCUCAUUAUAAUCUUCUGUGUCCUGAGUGCUACCCUCAUCAUCAUCGUCAUCAUCAUGAAGAGGAAGCAUCCUGUCCAAGACAAGUUUAAACUCCUACAAGCUGCAGGCAGAGCUCCUGUGGAUGAAGUGCUCCUUUACACUGGCACAGCUGACAGCAGACAG
ensembl:lncRNA